GGAGGUGGAGAGGCGGGUGGCGGAUGGGGAAAGCGGAACGGAACUCAUCUUUAGCGCAGCAGCAAGAAAGUAAGCAAGUGAAGAUGCAGCAAAGUUCCUAAACUGCCGAUAGCUGCCGCUCCUUUCUGUCUUGCAUUUUGUUCGUCGUGGUUGGUGCUUGCCUUAUUUUUAUUUCACUCUCGGUGAGAUCAAUCUUUACACUCCAAGUAGCAUGCGCUUCUCACACAGAGAAACAAAGACAAAGAAGCUCGCACGCAGGAAUGCACACACAUAUACGUGUUAAACACGCAUGGCUCCGAGUAUCCCCCUCCCCCCCCUUUCACUCUUCGGCCUCAGCAAGCGGAAAAAAAAAAUAACAGAAACAAAUAUAAGAGGCAAGCAAGUCGUGGGGAUGAAAGUCAAGAACUGGAGAUAAAAGAGAAAGCAGAAACGAGAAACCCUACCCCCACCUCCGCUAGAGAAGUGCCGCGAGGACGUCAGAGAAGCAGACGUGUGAUGCUCUAGUGUACACCCCCUGUACCGACAUGCGCGGUGGGGAGAGUGUCUGUUCAGGCGAUAACGAUGGAAGAGAGAGACGGCCCGUAGCGGGAGCAUAAAUACACAAGGCGAACGGCAUAGAAGCAAAAAAAAAGGUGGCGGGUUAGGGGGCAUGAGCCCAUAUUACAGAAACUUCGAAACGGUCCUUUUUUGAGAGGGGGUGUUCCUCUGAUUUUGCCGUGCUCCUCUUUUCUUCGACUGUUUGUGUGUUUGUGGCCCUCUUGCAAAGCUGUCCUUGUUGCUGUUUGGUAAUAGUAUCGUGUCGUCUGCUGGAUAUAUACCCGCUUGCCUUCGUCUCUCUAUCUUCAGCUUUUCCUCAGCACACACUCGCAGUGGCAGGGAGCAUCUUCUCGUCGCCUCCUAUGCGUUUCCUUCUCGAUGCCCACCUCCACGACUGUAGACGACGCAAAACUCCGAAAGGCUCUUCAUCUUUUUGUUCACCGUUCUUCCAUAGGCUUUUUGUUGCUAUUAUUGCUGUUGUCUGUUGCUGCUGGCUCUUGCGGCUGAAGAUGUGUCGGCGAAUGUGCAACUAUUUGCGUCUUUGGGUUGUUACUUUUUUCGCUCUUGCAUCUGCACAGCAUCGGUGCACCUUAUUGGUAUGCUUUACCCCCUCCUUUCUUCCUCGCUCUCCCUCGCUACCUGCACUGACUCUCUCGACGACUCUUACUCAUGCAGCUGCAGAAGAAAUAUUCUCCAUUUUUUCUGUUUCGAUCCCCCUUCCCCCUUUGCUGUGGGCAGCAGCGCAUAGAAGCAGGAAGGGUAGUAGGGGAGGAAGGGAGGUUGAGGAGGUGGCGCGAAAAGGAACACACACACAGAGACGCUCGCUUUUUAUGAAUCCGUAUUCGCAUGCGCGCGCGUACCUGAUUUAGGCUCCACUGGGGCCUUCUCUUUUCCCCCUCUCUUGUUUCUCUUUUUCAUGUUGCUGCUUUUGAGUAACUGUCAAGCAUUGAUCGAUGAAGGCACUUUUUCUACCCUCACAAUGUGAGCGAAUCGGUGCGAGCCUCAGCCUCCGACCAAGCCUCGACUUUUCCCCUGCGUCCUCGCCGACGUCGUUCACCCCCCCCCUUCGAGCACUUCCGGAUCCACCCACGCACUUGCUAUGAGCGUGCGUCGGUGUGUUAAGUGUCUAUGAAAGUGCGAUUCUCUUCUUUGUUUUCGCUUGUUUGCGCCUCUUGACGACGAUAGCCUCUCUCUUCGUUAAAAGGUUAAAGGGAAGCAGCAGAAGAGAGGUAAGAUGAGGAGGAGUGGAGCCUGUUUCGUGAACUCGUGUCUUGUCCUAGGCGGGGAUCUCUCGCGUCUGGGCAAGCGCAGAUCUCCCCACGCACACACACACAUGCGCGCACCCCCCCCCUCUUCCCUUCCCCCCUCUCUAAAGUUUUCCAUUCAUACUCUUUUGUUUUCCUCCUUCCUCUCUUGCGUCGUUCUCUGGCCCAGUGUUUCGCUCCUCCUCUUUCUUGGCGCUUUUUCUUUUUUUGUAGGGGGUAUGUGUUUGCCCGCCUGGCUGUCUGCCUGUCUCGCUCUCGCUCUCGCCCACCCUCUCUGUAUAUAUGUUUUUUUUUUUUUCAUUACCGAUAGUUGUUCGUUGAUGGGGGAUGCGUAGGUCUAACCACCACCCGACGGAACUAACGGAAUAAUAAUAAAAACGGACAUGUUUGUCUUUUGGGGAGUGCACAGAGCAUGAUGCGACGAACCGGCAGCAAUGAUGAUGUAAAGGGUAGCGGAGGACGUGGGGAAGGGGGGCAGGGGAUGCAACUGCCUUCAGCCCCCCUCUCCACCACGUCCUCUCUUCCGUGAUGUCGUCGUCGGAAACGCACGCGCACGCGAGUGCCUCAGGUGGCCAACGCAGCAAGCACGCGUCUGCAAAGCUUAUGCAUUUUCGCUGCGCGUGUGUGUAAGCACACGAAAUGGCGUAUAUGCGUCUAGUCGUUGCCGGUCUUGACAUGCGCCAAGCCAAGCGAAAAGUGGACCAAGAUGUCUGAG
rnacentral:misc_RNA from 1 species